rnacentral:rRNA from 1 species
UAAGGAAUAUUGGUCAAUGGAGGCAACUCUGAACCAGCCAUGCCGCGUGCAGGAAGAAGGCCCUAUGGGUCGUAAACUGCUUUUAUACGGGAGAAAACCUAGGUACGUGUACCUAGUUGAUAGUACUGUAAGAAUAAGGAUCGGCUAACUUCGUGCCAGCAGCCGCGGUAAGACGAAGGAUCCAAGCGUUAUCCGGAUUCAUUGGGUUUAAAGGGAGCGUAGGCGGGUUUAUAAGUCAGUGGUGAAAGCC